rnacentral:lncRNA from 1 species
AAAGUACCUGGACCUCUAUGCCCAUGCUUCUAGCAGCCAGCCUCCUAAAAUACCUCUAGUUGAAGCCAAAGUUAGAAUCCUUCUACGAAACUACAGGAUUAAAAUGGAAUGGUUACAUGACCCAGGCUUGACCAAUCAGAUCAUCCAAACCCUUUGCCACAGUGAUUGGUCCAGGGAUACAUGCAUGAGCCAGCUCAGGCCUAAGCCACACUCAUCUUGUGGAUGACACUGGAGCUGUGACAGUCUGUUCUGUCCAGGCAGGGUGUCUUUUAUUUUUAUUGGAAAUAAGAUUAUCACAGAAUUGCUGGCUGUUGAUACUCUUUCUCAUCAACUCCCCAAAUGGAAAUGCUUUCAACCACUGCAGAAGUAAAAAAUUACCCAAAGGCUGUAUGAUGCAAACUCUUUCUUUGGCUUUAUCUUACUGAUAAG